GGGUAAGUCUUGUACGACCAGCUCCUGCUUAAUCCCCCAGGGUAGGAAUACAGCAAGGGUAGGCGGUUGUAGCGGUGCGAUGCAAGUAGCUUACCCUUA
rnacentral:SRP_RNA from 2 species